rnacentral:rRNA from 1 species
GUUUGAUCAUGGCUCAGGAUGAACGCUGGCGGUGUGCUUAACACAUGCAAGUCGUACGGUCUUUCCCAGUUGAAGCUUCGGCCGAUUCUGGGAAUAGAUAGUGGCGGACUGGUGAGUAACACAUGGGCAACCUGCCCCUCGGAUCGGGAUAACAGUCCGAAAGGACUGCUAAUACCGGCUAUUCUCAUUUGAUCGCAUGGUUAGAUGAGGAAAGAUAGCCUCUAUUUAUAAGCUAUCACCGGGGGAGGGGCCUGUGGCUCAUUAGCUAGUUGGUAGGGUAACGGCCUACCAAGGCUACGAUGGGUAGCUGGUUUGAGAGGACGACCAGCCACAUUGGGACUGAGAUACGGCCCAGACUCCUACGGGAGGCAGCAGUGAGGAAUUUUCCGCAAUGGACGAAAGUCUGACGGAGCGACACCGCGUGGGUGAUGAAGGUCUUCGGAUCGUAAAGCCCUGUCGGGGGGGAAGAAACCCUACCUUGCGAAUAGUUAGGUAGAUUGACGGUACCCCCUAAGGAAGCACCGGCUAACUACGUGCCAGCAGCCGCGGUAAUACGUAGGGUGCAAGCGUUAUCCGGAAUCACUGGGCGUAAAGAGCUCGUAGGUGGUCUUGUAAGUCGCAUGUUAAAGCCCCAGGCUUAACUUGGGAAAUGCGUGCGAUACUGCUAGGCUAGAGGAUGGGAGAGGAAAGCGGAAUUCCAGGUGUAGCGGUGAAAUGCAUAGAUAUCUGGAAGAACACCAGUGGCGAAGGCGGCUUUCUGGACCAUUUCUGACACUGAGGAGCGAAAGCUAGGGUAGAGAACGGGAUUAGAUACCCCGGUAUUCCUAGCUGUAACGAUGGGUACUAGGUGUGGGAGGUAUCGACCCCUUCCGUGCCGCA